GACGAACGCUGGCGGCGUGCCUAAUACAUGCAAGUCGAACGAACCGCGACUAAGUGCUUGCACUAAGUCAAGGUGAGUGGCGAACGGGUGAGUAACACGUGGGUAACCUACCUCAUAGUGGGGGAUAACAGUCGGAAACGACUGCUAAUACCGCAUAGGACAUAGGAUCACAUGCUCCAGUGUGGAAAGGUGGCGCAAGCUAUCGCUAAGAGAUGGACCCGCGGUGCAUUAGCUAGUUGGUAGGGUAAAGGCCUACCAAGGCGAUGAUGCAUAGCCGACCUGAGAGGGUGAUCGGCCACAUUGGGACUGAGACACGGCCCAAACUCCUACGGGAGGCAGCAGUAGGGAAUCUUCCACAAUUGACGCAAGUCUGACGGAGCAACGCCGCGUGAGUGAAGAAGGUCUUCGGAUCGUAAAGCUCUGUUGUUAGAGAAGAACAGCGCAUAGAGUAACUGCUAUGCGUGUGACGGUAUCUAACCAGAAAGCCACGGCUAACUACGUG
rnacentral:rRNA from 1 species